CUCCCAGGUGUCCUCUCAGAAGUCUGUACUCCAGUCUGCUGCCACAGAGCAACCAGACUUGGCAGCUACAGAAAACUGUUUAUUGGGCAAGGUCAACCUUUUUUUGGUGCAGUGGUGCAAUCACAGCUCACUGUAACCUUGAUCUUCUGGGCUCAAGGAAGGAAAAGAAGGGACUUACUUCAGCUGAAAACAGAACUGGGUCUCCUGACUCCCAGGACUGUUUCAGGCACAAAGACAUGGGCCAUAAGAGCACACAGAGAAUGGCCGGGCACGGUAGCCCCAGUCUCUACUAAAAAUACAAAAAAUUAGCUGGGCAUGGUGGCAUGUGCCUGUAAUCCCAGCUACUCCGGAGCCUGAGGCAGGAGAAUCGCUUGGACCUGGGAGGCGGAGGUUGCAGUGAGCAGAGAUGGCGUCACUGCACUCCAGACUGGGCGACAGAGCAAGACUCCUUCUCAAAAAAAAAAAAAAAAAAAAAGCACCCAGAGAAAUUGCGACACCCCCCACUGCAGGCCAAGAGGAGUGCCCUCUGAAUGAAACCCACCUCAACGGCAGCUUGAUCUCAGACUUCCAGUCUCCAGAACUGUAAGAAAAUUCUGUGGUUUAAAGUACCCGGUCUAUGGUAUUUCGUCAUGGCAGCCCAAGCUAAGACAGGUCAAACUUGUCGCAGCCAACGUCGCUGCGAGGGACGCUGCCUGGCAGGGAACAGGGGAAGUUGAGGAAGGCGGACCGGCGUCCCUGUUCAUCAGUGGGGAAUCUUGGGGAGACAGAGGCCUCCGAAGCGUGGACGCUCCAGCCUGUUGCCGCCGCUCCCAAGGCCGCCGUGGACCAGCCCUGGAGCCGCUAACACGAUUUCCCAGGGAGCCGCGUCCCCGCAUCACCCAGCAGGAGCUGCAGGCGACAGGGACGCUCUCGCCGUCCCGCCCGGUCCUCUCUUGCCCACUAGAAGGGCUUCAUGGAGCGGCUGCUUCCCCCUCCCAAUCCCAGGAGAAAAGGGGCGCAGGGAUAAAGGCAGAGGCUCAGGGACUAUACAGGAGUUUUUCUGGGGAAUGUUAAGGAGAAAGGUGCAAAACAGCUGAAGCUUUCAGGACUGGAUGGGGAGGAAAAAGGAUUUUAAAAAGCUUUACUGGCCGGGCGCGGUGGCUCACGUUUGUAAUCCCAGCACUUUGGGAGGCCGAGGAGGGCAGAUCACCUGAGGUCAGGAGUUCCAGACUAGCCUGGCCAACAUAGUGAAACCCCGUCUCUACUAAAAAUACAAAAAUUAGCUGGGCGUAGUGGCGGGCACCUGUAAUCCCAGCUGCUCGGAAGGAUGAGGUAGGAGAAUCGUUUGAACCUGAGGCAGAGGUUGUAGUGAGCCAAGAUCGCGCCACUUGCUUCAGGCAGUAGUCUGGGGGCGUAGAAAGGAAGGCUUGGGAGGAUGUGGUGGGCAGAAUAGAAUCCCCCAAAGAUAUGCAUGCUGUAAUCCUGGGAACUUGUGGAUAUGUUACCUUAUAUGGCAAAAGCGACUUUCCACAGGAUUAAAGUUAUGGACCUCGAAGCAGGGCGCAGGUUGGAGUGAAUGGUUAUCCUUGAUUACCCAGGUGGGCCCUGUCUAAUCACAGGAGUCUGAGAACGUGACAUUGAGAACCUUUUAGGUUAGGUCAGAGAGAGAUAAGGAAGAUAGAGAGAGAGAGAGAGAGAGAGAGAGGAGAGAGAGAGAGAGAGAGAGAGAGAGAGAGAGAGAGAGAGAGAGAGAGAUGAAAUGAGCAGGAUUUUGCGACCUGUUGAAGCCUUUAAUGGGGAGGUAAGGAGACUCAAGCCAAGGAAGGUGGGCAGCCUCUAGAAGCUGGAAAAGUGGAGAAAGAAUUCUCCCCAAAGCCUCCGUAAGGAAACACAGCCCUGCCAACUCCUUGAUUUCAGUCCAGUGAAAGUUGUGUGGGAUUUCUGCCCUCCAUAUCUGGCACAUAAGUUAUCUAUAUCUAUCUUAGGAUAUAGAGUAGGUGCUUAAUGCAUACUUGUUUAAUGGAAAAAAGUGAAUAAAAAUAACAGUUGGAUUAAAUAAAUUCACAGUAAACUGCAAAUGGAAAGUAACCCCUUCAUUCCUGUAGGGCUGGCUGUAGUUUUCUAAGCGUAUGUUUUAAACCCAAUUGGCUCUAAUGGGAGGAAGUCUGGGCUCACAGUGAAGUGAGGAGGGUCAAGAAUGGCCAGGAGGGAUCCUGAAUUUGGUCCAACAUGACUUUCCAGUGAGUGUGCCCUUAGGAGUCUGUGCCCCUCUGUUAUUUUUGCCUCUUCUCUUCCUCUCUCUGCUGGAACUUACAGCUUUUCUCAAAGGGUCCUAUUUUGUGCAUGACUAUUUCUGCCUUCAUAAGACAAAAAGCAGAGGAGGGCAGUGAGGGAGGAGAGUUCCAGAGUAGGCAAGAGGGCACCUGCAGGGCACCCGCUGAGACUCAGGGCAGAUGCUUAGGGAGCAGAGGAAUGGUCAGGAAGGCCAGAGCCCGAGGACAGGGACAGUGAGGGGCAGAAGCUAGACAGCCCAUCAGAGCUGAGAUGAAGGGUCCUUCGUAUGCACUGUGGGCAAGUUCUUAAAGGAACCAUGUCACUAGAAUUUGGUCCAGCUGCUAGUGACAGAAACCCAGUUACACAGCUGAAACAAUACAGAAAGUCACUUCCCUUUCAUGUAAAUGAAGUUCAGGAGUGAGCAGUCCAGAGCUGCUGCAGAAGCUCCAGGAUUAUAAAGAACCAAAGCAACUUUUACUUUAUUACUCUUCCAUCCUUGGUGUGUGACUUCUACCUCAUGGCCCAGAAUGGUUGUUGAACUCCAGCCAUUUUGUCCCAAAUUCAGGAAAGAAAGCUGGAAAAAGAAGGGCACAUUCUCUGUCUUUAAGGAUAUCUUCCAGAAACUGCACAUGACACUUGUGCUUACAUCCCCCUAGAUUAGGGACAUGACCAUACAAGAUCAUACCUAGCUGCAGAGGAGGCUGGGAAAUGUAACCUUUAUUAUAGGCAGCCAUGUGCCCACCUGAAAAUGGGAGCUUUUGUUACUUACAGAAGAAGGGAAAGACAGAUAUUGGGAGAUAACUAGCACCCUGAGCCACCACAGCUGGUAGCUGCCAGAGCCACAGCAAUGACAGGUGCAGUGGUGAGAUAGUUGCCAGUUUAUCAGUACUGACACAGGAUUCUUCUCAGCCACUUUGCCAACUGGGGACCUCCUUAGCCAACAAUGCCUCACCUGCCUCCCAGGUCUCACUUGCCCACAGCCUGCUGCUGGAGGCACCCUCCCCACUUGGCCCACCUGUGUUAUGGCUUGUACCUGCGUUCGGUGGUUUCCGAGCUCUUGUCCCACAUCCAAGAAGAAUGAGGAUACACUGACAAUUCAAAGGGUGAGGAGGGUGGAGAAGAAUUUUAUUGAGCCACAGAACAGCUCUCAGCAGAGAAGAGAUGCGGGGGUGGUCCCCCAUGCCAGCAGUUGGGUGGGUUUCUCUCCCAAUGUGGCUGAAUCAGGGCUUUUAUGGACUCAGAAUGGCAAGUGUGUGCUGAUUGGUUUGUGAGUAUGCAAAAAAGUUUAAAGCGAAGAUACCACUCAAAGGUGCACACAACAGUGUAGAAAACCCUUAGGGAAGUGUGGGUAUAUGUAAAAUAGGUGAAGGGUGGGGAUCAAUUAGAGGAAAGCAUGCCAAACGGAAAGACGGGUUCUCAAUCUGGUCCAUGGAUUUGACAUGUAGCUUGGCUUUCAGGCUUUAAACUUUCUUUGGCUUGGAGGUGGAGUUUCACUGGGGACCCGCCCCUAUCUCCCUAGGCAUUUGGCUGACUCCUGUCACUAUCAGUACUAUGUGGAUUUCUCACACGUUGAGCAUUUGUAAAGCAGGGGCAGCCUGGAACUCAUUUAACAGUUGUAAUUUUGGAUGUGACUCACCAGGGCUGAAUUACCUAAGAGGCUAACCAAGUAUGUGUGCAGGGCUCCAGCAAAGUUGGAAACAAAACAAUAGCAAUGAGAAGGAAAGAACUUGCUAUUUCAUAUUGCAAGCAAACAAACAAACAAAAAGCUAGCAAAAUAGUUUUGGGAAAAAUCAGUACUUUGUUGGGCUUCAUUAUUUAUAUUUUGCAGUGCAGUGCUGUUUUGGUUUUUGAUUUACAUAGAAGAGAAAGAUGGAUGUGCCACAAUCUCUUUGGUUCUUAAAAACAUGAUCAGGUACUCAGAAUCAAUAUCAGCCUACCCCACCGGGUGCCUUUGCUCCCUGCUAAUCCAUCACUGGAACUCUUAAAAGGCCUUUGAGAUGAAUUUUGCUUUUGGUGGAGAGGGGCUGUUGUGCUACUGAAUACACAGGAGAUUGUAUGCCAGAGGGGAGAAAUCCUGAGAGAAGAAAAGGAAAGGAGAAAGAGAAAGAAAGAGAGAAAAUGAGAAUAGGAGGGAGAAGAGACAAAGGAGGAAGGUGAAGUCAAAGGGACAGACCAGUUCAGGGGUGACCCACUCCUGAUGUGGGGAUUUUAAAUGUAUCCACAAAUACAUCUACUCCUUCCUUCAAAAGAUGGAGCUUCAUUCUGCUUUCCUUGGGUGUGGGCUGACCUUAGUGACUGGCUUCUAGUGAAUAAAACAUGGUAGAAGUGAUAGUGUGUGACCAGGUCAGAAAGGCAUCGCGACAUCCUUCUUGUUCUUCCUCUUGGCUCACUGGCUCUGAGAGGAAGCAGGCCCCGUUUUGUGAAAAUGCC
rnacentral:lncRNA from 1 species